rnacentral:ncRNA from 1 species
AAGGGCACCACCAGGAGUGGAGCCUGCGGCUUAAUUUGACUCAACAUGGGAAACCUCGCCCGGACAUGGACAGGAUUGACAGAUUGAUAGCUCUUUCUCGAUUCCGUGGGUGGUGGUGCAUGGCCGUUCUUAGUUGGUGGAGCGAUUUGUCUGGUUAAUUCCAAUAAUGAAACGAGACUCUGGCAUGCUAACUAGUUACGUGACCCCCGAGCGGUUGGCGUCCCCCAACUUCUUAGAGGGACAAGUGGUGUUCAGCCACCUGAGAUUGAGCAAUAACAGGUCUGUGAUGCCCUUAGAUGUCCGGGGCUGCAUGUGCGCUACACUGACUGGCUCAGUGUGUGCCUACCCUACGCCGGCAGGUGUGGGUAACCUGUUGAACCCCAUUCGUGAUGGGGAUCGGGGAUUGCAAUUAUUCCCCAUGAACGAGGAAUUCCCAGUAAGUGCGGGUCAUAAGCUUGUGUUGAUUAAGUCCCUGCCCUUUGUACACACUGCCCGUUGCUACUACCGAUUGGAUGGUUUAGUGAGGCCCUCGGAUCGGCCCCGCCGGGGUCGGCCCAUGG